UACGGAGGGUGCAAGCGUUAUCCGGAUUCACUGGGUUUAAAGGGUGCGUAGGCGGGCAGGUAAGUCAGAGGUGAAAUCUCCGGGCUUAACCCGGAAACUGCCUUUGAUACUAUCGGUCUUGAAUAUGGUGGAGGUAAGCGGAAUAUGUCAUGUAGCGGUGAAAUGCGUAGAUAUCUGGAGGAACACCGGUGGCGAAGGCGGCAUCCUGGACCGGCAUUGACACUGAGGCGCGAAGGCGUGGGGAGCGAACGGG
rnacentral:rRNA from 1 species